rnacentral:rRNA from 1 species
UACGAAGGGGGCGAGCGUUGUUCGGAAUUACUGGGCGUAAAGGGCGCGUAGGCGGCGACCCAAGUCAGAUGUGAAAGUCCUGGGCUUAACUUGGGAACUGCGCUCGAAACUACUUGGCUAGAGUGUGGCAGAGGGAGGUGGAAUUCCACGUGUAGCGGUGAAAUGCGUAGAGAUGUGGAGGAACACCGAUGGCGAAGGCAGCCUCCUGGGCCAACACUGACGCUCAUGCACGAAAGCGUGGGGAGCAAACAGG